rnacentral:misc_RNA from 1 species
AAUAAAAAAUGGCGGCAUGUUCAAAGAUAUUGGCAUAGUUCUGCAUUUGAUACCACAAGAAGAAAAUCGUUCCAUGAGUUUUAGCUGACUUUACUGACCUUUGUUAAAAGAAGAAGUUUAUUUCAAUGGGCGAUAUAUCAGUGAAUGGACUCGGAAGUGUUUUACCAAAGGGUGACACGGAGGAAAAAUAUCACGUUGAAAUCUGUCUGAAACCGACAAGCUUGGCAGAGAGUCAAACAGUCAAAGAACAUGUGAUUGCCCUACUAGAUCGUCACCGCGUUGUCUAUGGAGAUCUCAUCUUGACUUCUUUUGAUGAUGUGUUUUUACAAGAGAAUGUUAAAUCUGUCUCACUUUGUGACACAGAGUGCAAUGCUGAAAAAAAGCAAAUCUGCCUGGUUUCGGGUAACCUGAUGAUGCAUGUUUAUCGACUGAAUGAAGAUGGACCAGGAACUGAAGAGCUGGAUGAUGAGGAGGAUAUGGCAGCUGCUCAUCAUUGGCUCCUGCCUGCCUCAGAUUUCAGUGGAUUAUGGGAGAGUUUGAUUUAUGAUGAGGAUAUCAAACGAGGGCUUUUGAAUUAUGCAUCAACAACUCUGCUGUUUUCUGACAAAGCUGUCAACAAUAACAUCAUAUCAUGGAACAAAGUUAUUCUCCUACAUGGACCUCCUGGGACAGGAAAAACUUCUUUGUGUAAAGCCCUGGCCCAGAAAUUAGUGAUCAGGUUGUCAGACAGGUACUCUUAUGGCCAGCUUAUUGAAAUCAACAGUCACAGUCUCUUCUCCAAGUGGUUUUCUGAGAGUGGAAAGUUGGUGAUGAAAAUGUUUCAGAAAAUCCAGGAGUUGAUUGAUGACCAGGAUGCUCUGGUGUUUGUGUUAAUAGAUGAAGUAAGAUUUGUACAUAUUUUGUUGCUCAUUAAUUCUCAGUGCAAGGCUUUUAAUCAUAUUUGCUAAUUUGAGGAAAAGAAAUUAAUGGCAGCAUGUUUUUUAGGUAGAAAGUCUGACUGCUGCAAGAAAAAGCACAAUGUCGGGGAGUGAGCCGUCAGAUGCUAUCAGGGUGGUGAACGCACUGCUUACACAGCUGGAUCAGAUCAAAAGGUACCCUAAUGUGAUGAUACUGACUACUUCCAAUGUGACAGGUGCUAUUGACUUGGCAUUUGUGGACAGAGCAGACAUUAAGCAGUAUAUUGGACCACCAUCCCCAGCUGCCAUAUUCAAAAUCUACCACUCGUGUAUUAUAGAACUUAUGAGAGUUGGAAUCAUCUCCCCUGCACAGCAACUGUUUGAUUUACGUACACUGGAAGUCAUGAAGUUCAUUGAAAAAAAUGUUACCAGGCUUAGUUUGCAACUGCGAGACAUAGCAAUGCAGAGUCAUGGAUUGAGUGGAAGGACUCUUAGAAAGCUCCCUUUUAUUGCCCAUGCUCUCUUUGUUCAGAGGCCAUCUGUCACUCUUGAGGAAUUUCUGGAUGGACUGAAAAAAGCAGUAGAAAGGCAGUUCAAAGAGAGAAGUGACUUAUCUAAUGACUGAGGAAUUUGUUAAGAAUCAUGCCAAAUUUACUGAACUCUUUUGUUACUGUGAUAAAAAUCUUCAUGGUUUGAUGAUAUUUAUUAUGCUCAUUAUUCCAGAUGCGGUAAAUAAUGUUCAUUAUGACAGUGCUACAUAAUAACUGUUUAUUACAUAAAAUAUUAAGUCAAAAUGU